CAGUAGCCACGGGAAUACGAAGGGUGCAAGCGUUACUCGGAAUUACUGGGCGUAAAGCGUGCGUAGGUGGUGGUUUAAGUCCGUUGUGAAAGCCCUGGGCUCAACCUGGGAAUUGCAGUGGAUACUGGGUCACUAGAGUGUGGUAGAGGAUAGUGGAAUUUCUGGUGUAGCAGUGAAAUGCGUAGAGAUCGGAAGGAACAUCUGUGGCGAAGGCGACUAUCUGGGCCAACACUGACACUGAGGCACGAAAGCGUGGGGAGCAAACAGGAUUAGAUACCCCCGUAGUCCCUGUCUCUUAUAA
rnacentral:rRNA from 1 species